AGCUAGCAGAUUCUUGGGGUCCAAAAGGAAGUCAGCCCUACAGUAUAAAGGAAGCCUUCCACAUGAUCAAUCAGUUACCCAACCUCUUUCCCUGUUGUGGCUCUGCCCUCCUCUGGGGUCUUGGAGUUCUCACCAUAAACAGCAAUUGUCGCCACAAAUGAAGAAUGUUCACGUUUGUUUUACAACUUCUUAAUGCACCGCAUUCAGUCUUCCUGUAAACUUGACUGCUUAGUCCUUAAAGUAUAUUGGUGGAGCAAUGUCUGCAUGCCUUCGUCAACACAUCUAUUGGCCUGUUUGUCCCAGCAUCCCAGUUGGAAUGGGAACCCUUCUAAGAAAAGCCUUUAUCCUUUACUCACCUACAAACUCACUGGGCACCCCCGGAAUUGUGGUCCUGGGCGUAUAGCAGGUGUCUAGUCACUCUUUUCUGGUUGUGCCAGUAAUUGGGGCCUGAUUACAAUUCUGUUUCAUCCAGUGCACCUCAAUGGAGAGAAACCAGCAAGAAACUCAUGCUUUCUGCCCCAUCUCCUUCCUUUCUUCUGUGUGUAAAGUGGAGAAAAGGCUGGAGAGUGUGGUAAGAUAGGAAGAAACCAAGCAAAGCACACAUAAACAAACAAAUGAAUAAAUAAAAGGGAAAAAUAGGGGAGAUUUUGAGUUGUCAAGAAAAGAAGAACUCUGAACUUUUGGCACAGACUCAAACCUGGAAACCCAGUGAGGUUUGCCCAUCACUAAUGAUCACAUAAUAAUAUGUUCCCAGGGGAGGGGCUGAGAGAGGCUAUUAAAAUACCGCAGCUCUGGUGCUCUAUGGGAGACAAGUUUUCUGAAACGUGGUCCCUGUCAGAUUUCCCUUGAGAGUCAAAGGGAAAAAUGACUGCAGUUUGGCUUCUAAAAGGUAAAAUGUUGGGAAAACUCACUGGGGAGGUUUCUUUCCCCAGCACAGGGUUUGGAAAUGCCUGCGUUUGCGUUGUAUAUUUUAAAUGUGGUGAUGGGCCAGCUUGUUAAGUGUGCUGGCUUGCUUACUGGGUGACUGGCAGGCAGCCGUAAGUGAGCGGAAACAAAACCAUUUGUGGGGUAUGAGGUGGCCAAGGUAGC
rnacentral:lncRNA from 1 species